rnacentral:rRNA from 1 species
UACGGAGGGGGCUAGCGUUGUUCGGAAUUACUGGGCGUAAAGCGCACGUAGGCGGCUUUGCAAGUCAGAGGUGAAAGCCCGGGGCUCAACCCCGGAAUUGCCUUUGAGACUGCAUCGCUAGAAUUGUGGAGAGGUAAGUGGAAUUCCGAGUGUAGAGGUGAAAUUCGUAGAUAUUCGGAAGAACACCAGUGGCGAAGGCGAGUCCCUGGACAACUUCUGACGCUGAGGCACGAAAGCUAGGGGAGCAAACAGG